UACAGAGGUCUCAAGCGUUGUUCGGAUUCAUUGGGCGUAAAGGGCGCGUAGGCGGUAGCACAAGUCAGUUGUGAAAUCUCCGGGCUUAACUCGGAAAGGUCAACUGAUACUGUGCGACUAGAGUGCAGAAGGGGCAACUGGAAUUCUCGGUGUAGCGGUGAAAUGCGUAGAUAUCGAGAGGAACACCUGCGGCGAAGGCGGGUUGCUGGGCUGACACUGACGCUGAGGCGCGAAAGCUAGGGGAGCGAACGGG
rnacentral:rRNA from 1 species